rnacentral:rRNA from 1 species
UGCCAGCAGCCGCGGUAAUACGGAGGGGGCAAGCGUUGCUCGGAUUCACUGGGCGUAAAGCGACCGCAGGUGGUUUAUUAAGUCAGAUGUGAAAUCCCCGGGCUCAACCCGGGAACUGCAUUUGAAACUGGUAAACUAGAGUUGUUCAGAGGAAGGCGGAAUUACCAGUGUAGAGGUGAAAUUCGUAGAUAUUGGUAGGAACACCGAAGAUGAAGAUAGCUUUCUGGGAACAUACUGACACUCAGGGUCGAAAGCGUGGGGAGCAAACAGGAUUAGAUA